rnacentral:ncRNA from 2 species
GUAGUGGUCACCGCAAGGUUUCUGGUGGCAACACCAGUCAUUACUCAGGCGGUUCGCCUUGGGCGAGCGGCCUUCCGGCAACGCCGGAUAGCAUUAACCCGCCGGUGUCGACACCGGC